UACGUAGGGCGCAAGCGUUGUCCGGAAUUAUUGGGCGUAAAGAGCUCGUAGGCGGCUUGUCACGUCGGGAGUGAAAACUCAGGGCUCAACCCUGAGCCUGCUUCCGAUACGGGCGGACUAGAGGUAUGCAGGGGAGAACGGAAUUCCUGGUGUAGCGGUGAAAUGCGCAGAUAUCAGGAGGAACACCGGUGGCGAAGGCGGUUCUCUGGGCAUUACCUGACGCUGAGGAGCGAAAGUGUGGGGAGCGAACAGG
rnacentral:rRNA from 1 species